rnacentral:rRNA from 1 species
GCUAAGAAUAUUCCGCAAUGGACGGAAGUCUGACGGAGCGACGCCGCGUGGAUGACGAAGGCCGAAAGGUUGUAAAGUUCUUUUGCUGGGGAAGAAUAACCGCAGGAGGGAAUGCCUGUGGGAUGACAAGAACCGGCGAAUAAGCUCCGGCCAACUACGUGCCAGCAGCCGCGGUAACACGUAGGGGGCGAGCGUUGUUCGGAAUUACUGGGCGUAAAGGGCAUGUAGGCGGCUUGGAAAGCCUGGCGUGAAAGUCUGCAGCUUAACUGCAGGGGUGCGCUGGGAACUGCUGAGCUUGAGUGACGGAGAGGGAGCUGGAAUUCCUGGUGUAGGGGUGAAAUCUGUAGAUAUCAGGAAGAACACCGAUGGCGAAGGCAAGCUCCUGGCCGAUGACUGACGCUGAGGUGCGAAAGUGUGGGGAUCAAACAGGAUUAGAAACCCUAGUGUCC